rnacentral:rRNA from 1 species
AGUAUAUCACCCUGUAGCUUUCAACUGACAGCCCACUGAAGCUAAGCAGGGCUGAGCCUGGACAGUACCUGGAUAGGAGACCUCCUGGGAAGCUAUGGUUGCUC